rnacentral:lncRNA from 1 species
UAGAGAUUAAAGUUCAAGCUCCUUAGAAUAUUAAGCAAGGAAACUAAAGGUCUUCCCUACACAACCCUGUUGCUAUCUCAUUUCACUACAAACACUCUUUCAUUCCCUUCCUGAAACUGAAUUUAUGCAAGCUCUUCUAUUUCUACUGCUUCCUCUUCCUCUUGUGUUAUUAGAAAUGUCUUAUCCAUCUACUGAAGCCCUUUUAUUAUUUUUAAUCUAUUUCCUUUCAACAAAACAAUAUUUUAAAGAUCAUGUUUCAUUUGUCUUUGUAUUCCAGUGCCAAGCUUAAAGUUUGGAAUAUAGUCAAUGGUCAGGAAGUGUUUGACUAGAUUAGAUCCUUAACCCCUUCCUCCCUCUACAUCCUUAAUUUGGCUUGGGUGUUCUCUUUGCUCUUUAUAAUUAGUUCUUUCCAAAAAAAAAAAAGUUUUAGAAGAAUGCUUCAUGAAAACUCUUAAAAUUUCCCUGAUAAGAUUUUGAGACCUUGAGUAAAUGAUAUAACUUCUAAGUGCCUCAGUUUAUUUGCUUGGAAAAU